GGAGCUUGCUUUAUAUAACUUAGCAGCGAACGGGUGAGUAACACGUAGAUAAUCUAUCCUAUACUGGGGGAUAGCCCGAUGAAAGUUGGAUUAAUACCGCAUAUAGCUAUAUAGUUGCAUGAUUAUGUAGUGAAAGAUUUAUUGGUAUAGGAGGAGUCUGCGGCACAUUAGCUAGUAGGUGAGGUAAAGGCUUACCUAGGCGACGAUGUGUAGCCGGUCUGAGAGGAUGAACGGCCACAAUGGAACUGAGACACGGUUCAUACUCCUACGGGAGGCAGCAGUGGGGAAUAUUGCACAAUGGGGGAAACCCUGAUGCGGCAACGCCGCGUGAGUGAAGAAGGUUUUCGGAUUGUAAAGCUCUGUUAGCAGGGAAGAGGAAGGACGGUACCUGCAGAGGAGGCCACGGCUAACUACGUGCCAGCAGCCGCGGUAAUACGUAGGUGGCAAGCGUUGUUCGGAAUAACUGGGCGUAAAGGAUGCGUAGGCGGUUAAACAAGUUAUAUGUUAAAUAUAUAGGCUUAACCUGUAGAAAGCAUAUAAAACUGUUUAACUAGAGUGCAGGAGAGGUAAGUGGAAUUCCUAGUGUAGCGGUGAAAUGCGUAGAGAUUAGGAAGAACACCAGUGGCGAAGGCGACUUACUGGACUGUAACUGACGCUGAGGCAUGAGAGCAUGGGGAGCAAACAGGAUUAGAUACCCUGGUAGUCCAUGCUGUAAACGAUGGGUACUAGGUGUGGGUUGUGAAUAACAAUUCGUGCCGUCGCAAACGCAAUAAGUACCCCGCCUGAGGAGU
rnacentral:rRNA from 1 species